GACGUAGGAUGCAAGCGUUGUCCGGAUUUAUUGGGCGUAAAGAGCGUGUAGGCGGCCAGAUAAGUGGGUUGUGAAAACUGGAGGCUUAACCUUCAGACGUCGACCCAAACUAUCUGGCUAGAGUCCGGAAGAGGAGAGUGGAAUUCCUGGUGUAGCGGUGAAAUGCGCAGAUAUCAGGAAGAACACCCGUGGCUAAGGCGGCUCUCUAGUACGGUACUGACGCUGAGACGCGAAAGCGUGGGGAGCGAACAGG
rnacentral:rRNA from 1 species